CUGGAGCAGACGAGACAAAGAUGGACACGGUGGCUGUAAAGACACGAGCGGGCGUGCGAGUGUCUCCUGUGGCUGCAAGAGAAAGUCAUUAGGAGCUUUGAAGAUGAAUGUACAGCAUCAUCGGCGAGGGACUUGUGUGGCUCCGCGAGGACACAAAGGACAGCUGCUGAAAUCACUGAGUGGAAAAAAAAGAACAACAAAAUCUGUGGACCAUCCAUGAUCCCAGUUAUUAGACAAUGGAGUGACUCUGGGAUCAGAGGAGGAGAUGUGAUGCUCUGGCUGGAGCUCCACAGGCCACAGAGAUGACACAUGGAUAAACACCAUGCCAGUGACA